rnacentral:rRNA from 1 species
CUACGGGACGCUCCAGUGAGGAAUAUUGGGCAAUGCCCGAAAGGGUGACCCAGCAACGCCGCGUGGAGGAUGAAUGUCGUAAGAUUGUAAACUCCUGUUAGAGGGGAAGAAUAAUUCCGUUCAACUCGGAAAUUGACUGUACCCUCAGAGAAAGCCCCGGCUAACUACGUGCCAGCAGCCGCGGUAAUACGUAGGGGGCAAGCGUUGUCCGGACUUACUGGGUGUAAAGGGCGCGCAGGUGGGUUGACAAGUCAGAGGUGAAAUCCUACAGCUUAACUGUAGAACUGCCUUUGAGACUGUCAAUCUUGAGUACGGAAGAGAGAGAUGGAAUUCCAGGUGUAGUGGUGAAAUACGUAGAUAUCUGGAAGAACACCAGUGGCGAAGGCGGUCUCUUGGUCCAAUACUGACACUAAGGCGCGAAAGCGUGGGGAGCAAACAGGAUUAGAUACCCGAGUAGUC